GGCAUGUUCAACUUUCCAGUUUCUUUUGGAAGAUAUUUGUCUUUGACUCUUUGGUAACAUUACGCAAAUGCGGAACUCAUUAAUUACUUGAUCAAUAUGAAUUUCAUUGAAACUUGUUGCAUUUAUUUUAUCUGCUACGUGAUAUCAUGCAUUUGAGGAUUGUCACUGUAACUAUUUAAUAAUACUGGAAGGUUUUCAACAUGGUCUGCUUUUACUCUGGGUUAGUUGUGAUGUGAUGGCAUUUUUGUUCAUGUUUGCACAACUUUAUGUUGGGCACUAAAAGACGUUAAUUUUUCUUCCUACAAUUUUGCCAAACACUAUACCGGCGAUAGAAUUGCAAAAUAUUUUAAAGUUCCUGUUGAGAAUUGUGGAUCUAGGAGUGUGAAUAUCAAA
rnacentral:misc_RNA from 1 species